rnacentral:sRNA from 1 species
GUUUCUGAUGAUGAUUUAACAAUCUACAUUCUCAAUGGACUGGGUCCAGAAUU